rnacentral:sRNA from 1 species
AGGAGGAGCCAUUAUGAACGAAGUUCAUAAUUAUGCAUGGCUCCGACGACAGGCCGCCGAACGGGAGUGAGGGGGCAGUCCC